UACGUAGGGUGCAAGCGUUGUCCGGAAUUAUUGGGCGUAAAGCGCUCGUAGGCGGUCUGUCGCGUCGGCUGUGAAAACCCGGAGCUCAACUCCGGGCCUGCAGUCGAUACGGGCAGACUGGAGUUCGGCAGGGGAGACUGGAAUUCCUGGUGUAGCGGUGAAAUGCGCAGAUAUCAGGAGGAACACCGGUGGCGAAGGCGGGUCUCUGGGCCGAUACUGACGCUGAGGAGCGAAAGCGUGGGGAGCGAACAGG
rnacentral:rRNA from 1 species